GGGAUUACAAACUUGCUGGAAAUGGAUGAGAAACCUUCUGCUCUGCUGGAGUUUAUCUUGAGUGUGCCUUAAAAUUCCAUUUCAUGGAGAACUGUGCGUGGUUGAAUUUUGAUUGAUUACUCAAUUAACUGAUGUAUUGGUAGAGUGAUUAAGAAAGAAGACUUUGGGAUCAGACCAACCUGGUUUUGAAUUCAAGCUCAGCAACUUACUAGGUAAGGAGGAGAAAAGAAAGAAGGAAAAAUUGGAAAGAUAAAUGGGGUCUUUCCAGUGAAGGCUCAAUUUUCCUACAUAAUUAAGAGUUUGGAAUUCGGGCAAUAUCAAGAACCACAUCUGUCCUGAAAUCAAUUAUCUCUGUUUGGAAUAUGGAUAUGAGAGAUCACUUUGCUGUGCUGUAAAUGAUCGAUUAAAAUACAUAUUUCUUUUGUCUCCUGGUACUUUCUUAUCCCAGUGCUGUGCUGAGCCAUAUUGGAGCCUAAGGCAAAAGGGACCAUCAGUAACACUAAUCCUGUCUUUAUUUAAAAUUUUGAUAUUUUGUUCAUCAUGGAUUUAUUUGCAUAAAUUUUAAUAUUGAAAUCUAUUGAUUAAAAUAUUAUGUAUCUUGA
rnacentral:lncRNA from 1 species